rnacentral:rRNA from 1 species
GUGGGGAAUAUUGGGCAAUGGGCGCAAGCCUGACCCAGCGACGCCGCGUGAGGGAUGAAGGCCUUCGGGUUGUAAACCUCUUUCAGUAGGGAAGAAGCGAAAGUGACGGUACCUAAAGAAGAAGCACCGGCUAACUAUGUGCCAGCAGCCGCGGUAAUACAUAGGGUGCAAGCGUUGUCCGGAAUUAUUGGGCGUAAAGAGCUCGUAGGUCGUUUGCCGCGUCGAUUGUGAAAAUCUGAGGCUCAACCUCAGACCUGCAGUCGAUACGGGCAAACUAGAGUGUGGUAGGGGAGACUGGAAUUCCUGGUGUAGCGGUGGAAUGCGCAGAUAUCAGGAGGAACACCAAUGGCGAAGGCAGGUCUCUGGGCCAUAACUGACACUGAGGAGCGAAAGCGCGGGGAGCGAACAGGAUUAGAAACCCGAGUAGUCC